rnacentral:rRNA from 1 species
GCGUGCCUAAUACAUGCAAGUCGAGCGAGGUUCUUCGGAACCUAGCGGCGGACGGGUGAGUAACACGUGGGUAACCUGCCUGUAAGACCGGGAUAACUUCGGGAAACCGAAGCUAAUACCGGAUACUUUCGAGCAUCGCAUGAUGCUUGAUGGAAAGGCGGCUUCGGCUGUCACUUACAGAUGGACCCGCGUCGCAUUAGCUAGUUGGUGAGGUAACGGCUCACCAAGGCGACGAUGCGUAGCCGACCUGAGAGGGUGAUCGGCCACACUGGGACUGAGACACGGCCCAGACUCCUACGGGAGGCAGCAGUAGGGAAUCUUCGGCAAUGGGCGAAAGCCUGACCGAGCAACGCCGCGUGAGCGAUGAAGGCCUUCGGGUCGUAAAGCUCUGUUGUUAAGGAAGAACAAGUACGAGAGUAACUGCUCGUACCUUGACGGUACUUAACGAGAAAGCCACGGCUAACUACGUGCCAGCAGCCGCGGUAAUACGUAGGUGGCGAGCGUUAUCCGGAAUUAUUGGGCGUAAAGCGCGCGCAGGCGGUUUCUUAAGUCUGAUGUGAAAGCCCACGGCUCAACCGUGGAGGGUCAUUGGAAACUGGGAAACUUGAGUGCAGAAGAGGAAAGCGGAAUUCCACGUGUAGCGGUGAAAUGCGUAGAGAUGUGGAGGAACACCAGUGGCGAAGGCGGCUUUCUGGUCUGUAACUACGCUAGGCGCA